rnacentral:rRNA from 1 species
CCUACGGGAGGCAGCAGUGAGGAAUAUUGGUCAAUGGACGAGAGUCUGAACCAGCCAAGUAGCGUGAAGGAUGACUGCCCUAUGGGUUGUAAACUUCUUUUAUAUGGGAAUAAAAUGUUCCACGUGUGGGAUUUUGUAUGUACCAUAUGAAUAAGGAUCGGCUAACUCCGUGCCAGCAGCCGCUGUAAUACGGAGGUUCCGAGCGUUAUCCGGAUUUAUUGGGUUUAAAGGGAGCGUAGGUGGAUUGUUAAGUCAGUUGUGAAAGUUUUCGGCACAACCGUAACAUUGCAGUUGAAACUGGCAGUCUUGAGUACAGUAGAGGUGGGCGGAAUUCGUGGUGUAGCGGUGAAAUGCUUAGAUAUCACGAAGAACUGCGAUUGCGAAGGCAGCUCACUGGACUGCAACUGACACUGAGGCUCGAAAGUGUGGGUAGCAAACAGGAUUAGAUACCCUUGUAGUC